GUGCCAGCCGCCGCGGUAAUACGGAGGGUGCAAGCGUUGUCCGGAAUCACUGGGCGUAAAGGGUGCGCAGGCGGAUGAUUAAGUCAGUGGUGAAAGCCCACAGCUCAACUGUGGAACUGCCAUUGAUACUGGUUAUCUUGAGUAUAGAUGAGGCAGGCGGAAUUUACGAUGUAGCGGUGAAAUGCAUAGAUAUCGUAAAGAACACCUAUAGCGAAGGCAGCUUGCUAAACUAUAACUGACGCUGAGGCACGAAAGCAUGGGGAGCGAACAGGAUUAGAAACCCUAGUAGUCC
rnacentral:rRNA from 1 species